ensembl:ncRNA C01B10.45 ncRNA
CCUGCACCUUCUGCUGGUGGAAGAUCCAUUAUGUAUACAUAGACACACACUAUGCGAAUAUACAUACACAAACAAACACACACCUUUUCAAAUUGUAGAGACCACCCUCCCUGCCCCUUCUUCUCCUCUUCCAC